rnacentral:lncRNA from 1 species
ACCCAAAACAAGAGCGCGAGUGACAGCUGUUCAAGAACCAGCUGCUGGCAGAACUCAUCUGCCAGAGCUAUUCCUGUCAAGGAGCAAGGGAGGGUCUGCAGGCAUGGGCUCGGAUAUCCCAAGGAAGCAGAGGGCCUAGCGGAGCAGCGGGGUGGGGCACAGGAUGGACUCAUUCCAACUCCCCCUGUAAAGCCCGGGGAUCCAUGUUUCAGUUGGAGCCGGCCUGGAGGCACCUUUCAUCCCUUCACAUGCAUCUUCCCAGAAAACGACCUCACUGGCCACGGAACCCAGACCAUGCCACUGUCCUGCUGGGGUGUCCAGCCUCCCUCUGGGCCCCACCCUGCACUCCGCAGAGGUCCCGAGGCCGCGUAGGCACUCACCCGAGAGCCGAUGUAGUGCACCGCCUCGGCGCCUCGGCUGCCGCCGCGCAGACACCGCACCCGUAGCAUCGCCCCGGUUUCUGCUGCUGCUCUGUGUGCACAAGGUCCUAGUCGCCAAGCUCGCGCCAGCUCCCAGCCUGCGGCCGC